UACGUAGGGGGCGAGCGUUGUCCGGAUUUAUUGGGCGUAAAGAGCUCGUAGGCGGUUCGGUAAGUCGAAUGUGAAAUCUCCACGCUCAACGUGGAGGGUCAUUCGAAACUGCCGUGACUUGAGUACGGUAGGGGAGUGUGGAAUUCCCGGUGUAGCGGUGAAAUGCGCAGAGAUCGGGAGGAACACCCGUAGCGAAGGCGGCACUCUGGGCCGAUACUGACGCUGAGGAGCGAAAGCGUGGGGAGCAAACAGG
rnacentral:rRNA from 1 species